rnacentral:rRNA from 1 species
GCCCUUGGAUGAGCCGCGGCCUAUCAGUUUGUUGGUGGGGUAAUGGCCUACCAAGGCGACGACGGGUAGCCGGCCUGAGAGGGUGAUCGGCCACACUGGGACUGAGAUACGGCCCAGACUCCUACGGGAGGCAGCAGUGGGGAAUAUUGCACAAUGGGCGGAAGCCUGAUGCAGCGACGCCGCGUGGGGGAUGACGGUCUUCGGAUUGUAAACCCCUUUCAGUAGGGACGAAGCGAGAGUGACGGUACCUGCAGAAGAAGCACCGGCCAACUACGUGCCAGCAGCCGCGGCCGAAGGGC